UGCUACAUGUGAUGCAAAGCUCAUCCCCAA
rnacentral:piRNA from 1 species